rnacentral:rRNA from 1 species
CAGCAGCCGCGGGAAAACGAAGGGGGCUAGCGUUGUUCGGAAUCACUGGGCGUAAAGAGCACGUAGGCGGAUCUUUAAGUCAGAGGUGAAAUCCCGAGGCUCAACCUCGGAACUGCCUUUGAUACUGGGGACCUCGAGUCCGGGAGAGGUGAGUGGAACUGCGAGUGUAGAGGUGAAAUUCGUAGAUAUUCGCAAGAACACCAGUGGCGAAGGCGGCUCACUGGCCCGGAACUGACGCUGAGGUGCGAAAGCGUGGGGAGCAAACAGGAUUAGAUACCCCCGUAGUCCCUGUCUCUUAUAC